AAAAGUCGUAACAAGGUCUCCGUUGGUGAACCAGCGGAGGGAUCAUUACCGAGUUUACAACUCCCAAACCCCUGUGAACAUACCUAUCGUUGCUUCGGCGGGAUCGCCCCGGCGCCUUCGGGCUCGGACCCAGGCGCCCGCCGGAGGACCCAAACUCUUGUUUUAUUAAGUAUCUUCUGAGUAAACAAGCAAAUAAAUUAAAACUUUCAACAACGGAUCUCUUGGUUCUGG
rnacentral:misc_RNA from 1 species